rnacentral:lncRNA from 1 species
GGGGCUGAUGCAGGCUGUGCACAGAUGCUGGAGUACUCUAGGAGGGGUGUGAUUUUUGCCAGCUGCAGAUAGUUUGUUUGGAAUUCUGAUGACUCUUGAGACGGUAUAAAUGUCUGAGCUCCAAGAGGGCCUAUGCUGCUCCCCUGCUAUGUUAGCUAUUUUGCUAGAUUGCUGGUUAGAGAUAUCCUGAUGAUGGAGAUUGGUCUUGCCCCAAGAAACCCAAGGCUGCUAGUCAGCAAGAAGUAGUCUAAGGAGGCCUACACCAGGAGAAUCUACACCUUCUUUGGUCUUCUUUCUCCCCUACCUAGUGUUGGGUAGUUGGACGGGAUUGGGGUAGAAUAAGGGUUGGAAGGAUGGUAGAUACUAGAACCCAAUAAAGUAGCCCAAGAAGCAAGUCAACAAGAAUUAAUAUGACGACGUGUACACUGGAUAGUUUUCUGACAACUUGACACAAGCUAGAAUAUCUGAAAGAAGGAACCUCAACUGAAGGAAAAAACUCAAUAAAAUCCAUAUAUAAGGCAUUGUCUUAAUGAGUGAUUGAUGGGUGAGGGCCCAGCUCAUUUGGGAUGGUGCUUGUAGUCCUGGGUUCUAUAAGAAAGCAGGCUGAACAAUUCAUGUAGAGCAAGCUAGUAAGCAGCACCCUUCUAUGGCCUCUGCAUCAGCUCCUGUUCCCAGGUUCCUGACCUGUCUGAAUUCCUGUCCUGAUUGCCUUUGGUACUGAACAGUAAUGUGAAGGUGUAAGCCAGGUUAACCCUUUUCUCCUGGCUUGCCUUUGGGUCAUGGUGUUGUUUCACUGGAGCAAUGGAAAUUGUAACUAAGUCACCAGCUGUGGUGGCCCACACUUGUAACCCCAACUUUUGGGAAGCUGAGUCGGUUGCAUCAUGUUCCCAAAGCUAACCUGAACUUCAUAAUUCUAGGCCAACGAAGGACACAAAGUGAGAGCCUUUCUCAAAGGGGGAAAUGCAACAAAAGAGAAAGCCAACAGCUUUUUCUCCUCAACAGCAUAUUUUCUAGUUGGUAAAAAUCUGCUUAGGACUGGAAUCCUGGCCUAUAGCAUGGAGCAGAGAGGGGAAUGGGCAGGUGGAGCUUGCUGUCUUCCUGUAGGCUCCUGAUUCCCUUCUGGCCAGCAAAGGAUAUCUCUAGAUUGAGAGCAUGAGGUCCUUGGCUUUACUAUGCUUACAACCAGAGUCAAUACCUUUCAACCCCAUCCUGACAGAGGCUUGGUAGGCAAUAACCUGGGGCAUGCUGUCAAAUGCUCUUCUCUCC